rnacentral:rRNA from 1 species
GGUUCGAUUCUGGCUCAGAUUGAACGCUGGCGGGAUGCUUUACACGUACAGGAUCGAACGGCAGCACAGACUUCGGUCUGGUGGCGAGUGGCGAACGGGUGAGUAAUGUAUCGGAACGUGCCUAAUGGCGAGGAUAACUACGCGAAGGCGUAGCCACCGCAUACGCCCUUCGGGGAAAGCAGGGGGCCUUCGGGCCUCGCACUAUUAGAGCGGCCGAUAUCGGAUUAGCUAGUUGGUGGGGUAACGGCUCACCAAGGCGACGAUCCGUAGCUGGUUUGAGAGGACGACCAGCCACACUGGGACUGAGACCUGGCCCAGACUCCUACGGGGAGGCAGCAGUGGGGAAUUUUGGACAAUGGGGGAAACCUGAUCCAGCCAUCCCCGCGUGUGCGAUGAAGGCCUUCGGAGUUGUAAAGCACUUUGGCGGGAAAGAAACGGCACGGGAUAAUACCCCGUGCAACUGACAGUACCUGCAGAAUAAGCACCGGCUAACUACGUGCCCAACAGCCGCGGUAAUACGUAGGGUGCAAGCGUUAAUCGGAAUUACUGGGCGUAAAGCGUGCGCAGGCGGUUCGGAAGAAAAGAUGUGAAAUCCAGAGCUUAACUUUUGGAACUGCAUUUUUAACUACCGAGCUAGAGUGUGUCAGAGGGAGGUGGAAUUCCGCGUGUAGCAGUGAAAUGCGUAGAUAUGCUGAAGACACCGAUGGCGAAGGCAGCCUCCUGGGAUAACACUGACGCUCGUGCACGAAAGCGUGGGGAGCAAACAGGAUUAGAUACCCUGGAGUCCACGCCCUAAACAUUCAUCAACUAGCUGUUGGGGCCUUCGAGCCUUGGUAGCGCAACUAACGCGUGAAGUUGACCGCCUGGGGAAGGCUACGGUCGCAAGAUUAAAACUCAAAGGAAUAGCGGGGACCCGCACAAGCGGUGGAUGAUGGUUAAUUCGAUGCAACGCGAAAAACCUUACCUACCCUUGACAUGUCUGGAAUCCCGAAGAGAUUUGGGAGUGCUCGCAAAAGAGAACCGGAACACAGGUGCUGCAUGGCUGUCGUCAGCUCGUGUCGUGAGAUGUUGGGUUAAGUCCCGCAACGAGCGCAACCCUUGUCAUUAGUUGCUACGAGGCACUCUAAUGAGACUGCCGGUGACAAACCGGAGGAAGGUGGGGAUGACGUCAAAGUCCUCAUGGCAUAUGGGUAGGGCUUCACACGUCAUACAAUGGUCAGGACAGAGGGUCGCCAACCCGCGAGGAGCCAAUCCCAGGGAAACCCGAUCGUGGUCCGGAUCGCAGUCUGCAACUCGACUGCGUGAAGUCGGAAUCGCUAGUAAUCGCGGAUCAGCAUGUCGCGGUGAAUACGUUCCCGGGUCUUGUACCGCCCGUCACACCAUGGGAGUGGGUUUUACCAGAAGUAGUUAGCCUAACCGUAAGGAGGGCGAUUACCACAGUAGGAUUCAUGACUGGGGGUGAAGUCAUGUAAGGUAG